UACGUAGGGGGCUAGCGUUGUCCGGAAUCAUUGGGCGUAAAGCGCGUGUAGGCGGUCCGGUAAGUCCGCUGUGAAAGUCGAGGGCUCAACCCUCGAAUGCCGGUGGAUACUGUCGGGCUUGAGUACGGGAGAGGCGAGUGGAAUUCCUGGUGUAGCGGUGAAAUGCGCAGAUAUCAGGAGGAACACCGAUGGCGAAGGCAGCUCGCUGGGACGGUACUGACGCUGAGGCGCGAAAGCGUGGGGAGCAAACAGG
rnacentral:rRNA from 1 species